rnacentral:lncRNA from 1 species
GCCUGUAAAGGGGGUAGGUUUGUGUGUGUGUUUUAUUAGUGUGAGACUUUUUGUAAUUCAAAGGAGAAAGUGUGGGACAUGGGAAUAGUCUUCUAGGGACUUUAUGACCUCCGUCUAUUACAAUGUCAGCAUAAAAUUCCUUAUAUCUUUAUGGUACUUGCGACUUUUAUAUUGUACUAUAAUUCUGUACCCACUUUGAGGUAUUCUAUUCACUGUGGUGAAUUUUAUUCCCAAGUGCUGGGAAGAAAUAACAGUGUGCUCUGAGAUGACCCAACUCCUUCAGUAUAAUACUGGUAGACAAAUUAUUAGCAUCUUUUCCAUGCAACAUUCCUUACACCUUGUACAUAAGCUGCAUGCAUUUUUUUUUCCCAUAAUGCAGAAUCCUGGGAAAUAGCCUAUGUCUUGCGGGGAAAAAAAAAUGCCAGAGUGCCUUGAAGUCCAGAUCAACACAGACUGGUGAUCCUACUACCUGCCACCUACAGAGCUGCUUUUUGGAUCAGUUCUCCCUGGAAAGAGCCAUCCUCAAUCCUGAUAAAAGGUAAUUCUGAACAGUACGAGUGAAGGGAAGACAUACUUCUGUGGAAUGCAAGCACAAAUGAGGAAAAAUGUGUGUGGUAAGUUCUAAGAGAGAAUAAGCUUGGUUCACACAGAAAUGCAGUUUUUACAUACAUUAUCAUGGAUGAACAAAGGAAGAAGGGGAUUUGAUAAAUUAUAAAUGUCUAUACAUGUAACAGCUUACUGCAGUAUCUGGGAAGUUUGCGAUGUUUGUUGGAACAAGUCAACAAGUGACAAAUAUGGGUAGAAUGCAAGAGACAGAUUAAAGCUCGUAAUACAAAAGUAAUUUACUAUGCUGAAUAAACAUCAUAAAUCAUAAUAUAGGAACAUUUCUCAACCAAGCAGAUUCAAUAUUCCUUUCUUAUGUUCUACCUCUUCUAAAAACCUAGAAUAAUCUUUUCAGUGUUCUGCACUUCUUAUUAUGAAUUUUUGCCACAUAUCCAGUUUAAUUUGUCCAUAUACCAUAUAUCUUCUUAAAUAACAGAUUCCUUUUUUUCCUUCUUCCUCCAUUACUUAAAACUUAUCACCUCUUUUCUAACCACGGUUGACUUUUGACCGAGACGAGCCUCCCAAGUACUGAAAAAUAUCUGAAAUCCUUCUCUGCCUCUUAUAAAAGUGGUAUGUUGCUAAUUCACAGGAUCUUUCUAAAUUUGAAUGAGACCUUGGCUUUCAUCAGUUCUGUUUCAGUGAAAGCAACCUCUUGCUCAAAGAUGAGUAGCC